GGCGACCGGGUGAGUAACACGUAGCUAACCUACCCCUCAGCGGGGGAUAACAGGCCGAAAGGCGUGCUAAUACCGCAUGAUUUCACAGGGCUCAGAUAACUGUGAAGAAACUCACGGGGUUGAGGGCGGGGGCUGCGGCCCAUCAGGUAGUUGGUGAGGUAACGGCUCACCAAGCCGACGACGGGUAGGGGACCUGAGAGGGUGACCCCCCACACUGGGACAGACAUACGGCCCAGACUCCUACGGGAGGCAGCAGUAAGGGAUAUUGCGCAAUGGGCGAAAGCCUGACGCAGCAACGCCGCGUGGAGGACGACGGCCUUCGGGUUGUAAACUCCUUUUGGUCGGGACGAGGUAGGACGGUACCGACUGAAUAAGCCUCGGCUAACUACGUGCCAGCCGCCGCGG
rnacentral:rRNA from 1 species